UACGUAGGUCGCAAGCGUUGUCCGGAUUUACUGGGCGUAAAGAGCGCGCAGGCGGCUGGUCAAGUCCGAUGUGAAAUCUCCCGGCUCAACUGGGAAACUGCAUCGGAAACUGAUCGGCUUGAAGGUGGGAGAGGGUAGUGGAAUUCCCGGUGUAGUGGUGAAAUGCGUAGAUAUCGGGAGGAACACCAGUGGCGAAGGCAGCUCGCUGGGACGUGACUGACGCUGAGACGCGAAAGCGUGGGGAGCAAACAGG
rnacentral:rRNA from 1 species